GCAACAUGUACUUUCAGAUUCAUC
rnacentral:siRNA from 1 species